rnacentral:lncRNA from 13 species
AAACAGGGUCUCACUAUGUUGCCCGGACUGGUCUUCAACUCCUGGCCUCCAGCAGUCCUAAAACCUUGGCCUCCCAAAGCAGAGCGUACAGUUAUGGAAACAGUCCUCACACACUGACUGAAUUCUGACAAGCAGAGGAUAAAGGCAGAGCAACAUGACUGAAGGUUUGCAGUUUUCUAGGGAAGAUGCUUUGGUAAUAUAUGCCAGCAUGCUGAUGACCCCAAGGAGGACCACUAGAUAUCUAGUAAGUUUCUCAGGAAGCAUGAUGCUGGCAUCUGCUCAGCUCUUAAGGAGGCCUCAGGAAACUUACAGUCAUGGCAGAAGGCAAAAUGGAAGCCAGCACUUCACAAGACUGGAGCAGGAGAAAGAGAGAGUGAGGAGGUGCCACAGACUUAAACAACUAGAUCUCUGGAUAAUUCACUCACUCACUAGCACGAGAACAACAUUGAAGGGAUGGUGCUAAACAAUUCGUGAAGGAUCAUCCCCAUGAUCCAAUCACCUCCCACCAGGCCCCAUUUGCAACAUUGGGGAUUACAGUUCAACAUGAGAUUUGGUGAGGACACAGAUCCAAACUGUGUCACAUAUUAUUUGAUAUGAUUUUAAGUUAAUUAUUGAAGUCUUCUUUGAUGGCAUUAAAAACCAAGUUAUACCAACUUUACCACACUUGGAAAUUGUGACUUUCAAAGAAAUCUGAACAUAAAGUCACCUUUUUGGAGGGUACUGGGAGAUGUUAUAUAUGAAGGUAGUUACCCAUCCCAAACACUGAGAUUUUAUAAUGAAAUUGGGCAAGAAUGAUUUUGUGAAUAAUAAGUAAAUUCCUAGUGUGAGUGCAAGUUGUCAUUUUGAUGCCACUGUGAUCCUCAGCAAAGUGACUUAUUAUAUUGCAUUAUAUUAUCCACUUAUAUUUUCAAAGGAAUAUAUCACAUGCUUCUAUUACUAUGGUAUUAUGCAGGCAACUAUGACUACCGUUGAAUGUUCUCUCAGCCACAUCUUUUAUAUUGUGCCAGUUAAGCAGAAGGUGGGGAAUGUUGUCAGAGGGAUUUAAAUGUCUCAUCUAAAGGUCAACACCUAACGACAAGACAGAAUUUAUCCUGAACUGGAUUGUAGAGUCAGCACUGGGUUUGAGCCCAGUUGCUGUUGCGGGACUUAAAUAUACAGUCCUCCAAAUGAGAACAGGUGGUGUCAAAGGAGCUAUAUUGGUGUUCAAGAUAUAUCCUAAAAUAGAUUUAAGCUUCUCCAUGACCUCAUUUUGCCACUUGGGCUUGCUUAUGAGUGUGUUUUUGGGUGGUGUUAAUGUUCCAGUGUUAGCCAUUAUAAUUUAUGGACUGACAUAGGAUCAUUAGCACUGAGCAUGGAUUGUGCUCAGUAGCCAAGGCAUAACUUUUUCCCCUCUAUGUUUCCUGUAGCUGGUCAGUGUUUUGUAACCAGGGCACCAACUCUGCAGCCAGUUGGUAACUUUAGAUGUUUGAUUUGGUGUGUAGUUGGCAUCACAGACACGGUUAAGCAAGGAUAAUAUUAGAGUAUGCGUGACAGUUUCAAUAUUUUAUUCCUGUUAGACAGAACUAGUUUUAGCACAGGUUGAAACCAGAUAACUGAAUCUAUAGUAAGAUUUUAUUUAGUAAAAUCAUUUCAUGCAAGGUAACAGUAACUGUGACUAGCCUUUGAGCAGGCAAAGGAGUUAGCAAUUUUGUCAAUUAAAUUUUCAUUAAAGUAAGCCAUAGGCGUGAUAUUUCUGGAAAGAGUAAUAAUGUUACAAGGUUUAUAAUGAAAACCAGCAGACCUUUGACUCUUUUUCCCUACUGUAAGUCCUGUUUUCAAAAGCCACCAUUUUCAUUCUUUUAAUGCUUCUUGUAUUUACCACUAUUUUUUCUGUAUAAGACAGUUAUACUUGUGGUAAUUGAUUCUUCAGUUUUAGAUAUUACAUAUUAAGUUUUUAUUUUUAUUAGGAAAGAUAAAGAUUUAACUCUCUUAAACUCCCUUUGCAUCCAAAAUAUAUUUUUCCCCUUCUCCCAUCCUCUUUUUUACAAUGUUUGGCGAAAUCAGUAUUUUGUUUAUUGUUUUUACUAAAUAAAUUGGUUCUCAGUGAUUAAGGAAUAGUCA